AAAUUAAAUAAAAAUAAUUCCUAAUUGAAUCUUCCUUGACUGCAACAUUCUCCCCUAAUUGGAGAAAAAUCGACCUUGAGUUUUAUAGUGUUGGAUAAUCAAGAACUAAAUUAGGAGAACAAGCAAAUCUAUCUUCUUGGAUGGUAGCAAUAAGAUUGAAACAUCAUUCUUUUCUUUACAAUCUUGGAAACAUAUAAACAUAUAAAAUCAGUCACAACUACAAUUGAAAGACUCUUCUAUUCACCAAGAACAAGAGAAUUAAAUAAAUCUUCAAUUUCCAUUUUCGUCUCCAUGUCUGAGGCCUGCCCGAACUCGAAAAGGCAAGAGAUGCCAGGCAUUGGGAGGUGCUGUCUCAUGCAUAUAAU
rnacentral:misc_RNA from 1 species